rnacentral:rRNA from 1 species
UACGUAGGGUGCAAGCGUUAAUCGGAAUUACUGGGCGUAAAGCGUGCGCAGGCGGCUAUGCAAGACAGAUGUGAAAUCCCCGGGCUCAACCUGGGAACUGCAUUUGUGACUGCAUGGCUAGAGUACGGUAGAGGGGAUGGAAUUCCGCGUGUAGCAGUGAAAUGCGUAGAUAUGCGGAGGAACACCGAUGGCGAAGGCAAUCCCCUGGACCUGUACUGACGCUCAUGCACGAAAGCGUGGGGAGCAAACAGG